UUACAACGUCCUUUGGUCUUUUUAUAUUAUCUAUUUACAAAAAGAAAAGAAAAUCAGAAAUAAAAAUCCACCAAUUUCCCUCGUUCUGCCUUCUUUUUUUCUCUGUGCCCCUUUUUCGUUUUAUUUGUGUCUUCUUUCUGUUGCGUUUGCUAGUCUUUGGCAGGUACUGUGUGCAGAGGUUGCGGAUGUGGCAUGUACGGAGGAGAAGGCGCGCGUACGAGGCUCGUGCGAG
rnacentral:lncRNA from 1 species